UGAGAAGUUUGUACUUGAUUUAAACUCUUGCUCUAAAUAUCUUGUAACUUGAUUCAAUCAAGGGAUUGAAUCAAGGGGUUAAGGUUUGUUGGUGAGCCAAAGGGAAAAACCAACGUUGUAAGGUUGUGGUUGGUGAGCCUUUGAGAAAACCAACUGGGUUGAUUGUGAACCCGGAAAACAAUCGUUGUAAGGUUGUGGUUGGUGAGCCUUUGGGAAAACCAACUGGGUUGGAUUGUGAGCCCGUGAAAACAAUUGGGUGGUUCUAGUCGGUGAGCCUGGGAAAACCGACCGAGUUCGUUGUGACCUCGUAAAAUAACAAGUUGGGUUGUGAGCUUGUAAAACAACCGGCUGUAAUCUGUAGGAUUAUAGUAAAAUUCCCAAGAGGUCUUGGGGAGUGGAUGUAGGUGCUGGGGUGCACCGAACCACUAUAUGUUUGUUGUGUUUGUGAUGCUUUUUGUCAUUGUCUAUCUUGCUCACUUACUUACCUAGAUAAAUUGCAUGCUUAACUCUUAUCCGCGCAUCCUUUAGUUGCAAGCAUAUUAAAUUUACUUAAUCAAGUCUCAUUCGAUAAAUCAACCUUUUGCUAAGUUUAAAUUUCACUGUGCAACUAUACAACUUAGCAUAAUUAAUUGAAAAGUGUUAGAAGUAGCUUAAAAGUU
rnacentral:lncRNA from 1 species